CGGAUUGAGGAGCCUCCCCGCUCCACGACAGAAGGGGAAAAAAGCCCGGUCUGGAGCCGCUGCCGCUGACAGACACCACAGCGAUAACGUCACUACGCCACAGCGUCUGUACCACGUGAGCAGCGCGGCCGGCACCACCUAAAAGCAAUGGAUCAUUGAAAGCUUUGAACAGGAAGGAGCCAGUACAGAUGAGGAGACAUGGGCCCAGAGAGGCAAAGAAACUCCAUAAGGCCAUAUAGCUAGCCUGUGACAGAAGACAGGAAUUUAUUCAUCAUUUCUUGAUUCCUGGGUCUGUAUUCUUUCCACUCACAGAGAAAACCUACAGGAAUUUAUAGCCCCGACUGUUCCCACUGUCCCCAACCACUUUGCUGAGUUGGCUGUCAGUUUCAGGGAUUUAAAGCCUAGCUCAGCUAAAUGGCUCUUAUUUUUGGAGCCCAUGGACCCUUUCUGAAGAAUAGAGCAGAGGCUAUGCCAGAAUUUGUCUAGAAUGAAUGAUGUCCAGCUUCUGACUAUAAAAGGGUUGGGUCCAUUCCCUAUUUGAUCUGAGCAGUUUAAAUUUCUACAAACAGAUUUUAUCUAAAAGGGAGAUUACCUCAACUUGAAAUUCUACCAUUAAAGACCAAAGUACCAAAUACCAAAGGAAACAUUAUCUUUGAGAGAAUUAUUGAAUCAUAUCAGCCAUAUAUAUUUACAGAGAAAACCUACAGGAAUUUAUAGCCCUGACUGUUCCCACUGUCCCCUUGCUUCCUCUACAAAAUUAGGAGGAUAUAUUAGUUAAUUCCAAUGUCCUUUUUCUGCAGUAAAAGAUUACUACAAGUCCCCAGGAAAGAAAAUGAUUUAGCCAAGGUCAUAUAGCAAGUUAGCAACAGAAUCUCUAGUAGAACCCAUACCUCUGACUCCCAUUCCAGUGCCUCUUCCAUUAUUCUCAUCCACUUUAGUGUGUGUGUGUUUUUUUUUACCCUUGGAGGACAAAACAUCUUAAAUACAGUGCUAUCUUACAGAUUUUCUCUCUGGGUAAUAAGAGUCUCAAACCAGUCAAACAGCAGGGCUUGAGGAGAUAGCAUAUGGAACUGCUCAACAAGGAUAGUAACAUUUGGACACUCCAUCCUAUAUAUGUUGAAUUCUAGCUUCUGACCUCAUCAGUCAAUCUAAACUGCUGUCCCCAAGAUUACCAGUGAUCUUAGCUGCCAAAUCCAGUGUUCUUUUCUCAAUCCUCAUCUUCUUGAUCUCUUGCAGCAGCCUUUGAUAAUGUCAAUCACCCUCUUCUCCAACAUUCUCUUCUGUAGGUUUCUAUGACCCUUCUCUCUCCUAUGACAUUUCUUUCUCUCUGAUUCUUCUUUCUUGGUCUCCUUUCCGACAUCUUCCUCCAGAAUCACAUGCAUUAAUUGUGGCUGUUCCCCGAAGAUAUGUCUCAGGUUCUUUUAUCCCUUUUGAUUGUCUUGCUUGAUGAUCUCAUCAGCCCUCUUGGGAUAAUUUAUCAUGUCUAAGCAGAUUUUCAGAUCUGUUCAUCAGUCCCUAACAUCUCUCUCUUGACCUCCAGCCUCUUGGAUAUCUCAUACUCCAAGUCUUAUAGCCAUCUUAAACCAACCAUGUCGAAAACUAGUAUUUUUCCCCAAAACCCUCUCCUCUUAACAACCUCCCCAUUAUUUUUCAGGUCAAAACCAUCCUUCCAGUCACCUAGGCUCACAGCCUUGCUGAAUUCUCAGUUCCUCACUUGUACACAGUCAUUCUGUUACCAAAUAUUACCAUUUCUUGCUCUACAACAUUACUUAUAUAUCCUAGACGCUUAUCACUUGACAUGUGGAGUAUUGAAAUAGCAUCCAAGUUGGCCUUCUUGCCCCAAGUCUCUCCCCACUCCAGUCCAUUCUCCACCUAGUUACCAAAGAAAUCUUCCCAAAAGGCAGAUCUGACUGUCACCACCUUUUUCAAUAAACUCUAAUAGCUUCUUAUUACCUCCAGAAGUAAAUACCCUUCACAACUUUGUCUCUUCUCUCCUGUCUAGUAUUCUUACACUUUAACUCAAUUGCCUUUUCAUUGGCCAUACCCCAUGCCUGGAAUGUUCUUCCUCUUCAUAUUCACCUCCCAAAUUCCCAGAUCUUCUUUUAAAUCUCAGCUCAUAUCCCGCCUUCUUUAAAAAGCUUUUCCUCAUACUCCCCACCCCAAUUCCCUCCGAGAUUACUUCACUUUCAUUCUUUUUUGUUUCUUUCUAUUCUUGAAGCACUGGACCCAUGGUUCAUUUCAAUCUAAUGAAAGUAUUUCUAGAAACACCAUUGAAAGAAACAGAUGAGAUGUUGAAGGCACAUGUUCCAACUGUAUAAUUUUGCUGAGAGGUUGCCCAAGGCUUGGUUUAAUACUUUUCAAUCCUAACUACUGUCAAGCUAUUUCUCUCCCAUCCUCUUGUGUCUGGGUUCAAAAAUGAACCUCACAGGAAGACUUGACAUUUAUCCCUUUGGAAUUUCAUUUUGUCGGAUCAUCUCACUAAUACUCUAGUAAAAUGUUGUCAAACUCAAAUAGAAACCAGGAGCCACUAAAUCAUACAUAAGGAUCCCUCCCAGCUGCAUUUUUACUUAGAAAACCAUAUAUUACCAUCAUGUACAUUCUGUUAUAUUUUUAUUUGUUUCAUCAUAUACUUUCCCAAAUAGAUUUUAAUCUAGUUUAAUGUAGAAGGAGCUAAGUUGCUCAGUCGAUAGGCUGUUGGACCUGGAGCCAGGAAGACCUGAGUUCAAAUCCAUCUUCAGAUACUUACUAGCUGAGUGAACCUGAGCAAGGCACUUAAUCUCAGUUUGCCUCAGUUUCUUCAUCUGCAAAAUGAGGAUAAUAACGUACCUCUCAGAAUUGUUUUAAGGAAAGAAUGAGAUUUUUGUAAAGUGUUUAGUACAAUGUCUGGUACAUAAGCACAAUAUAAAUGCUAGAUAUUAUUUUGGGUAGCAUUUGAAAAUGUCAUGAACCACAGUGCAGUCCUUGACUUGUAUAUUUCACACUUUUGCACUAGCCUCUCAAGAUCUACUUGAAUUCUUGCAUUAUAUGGUCCUACCCCUCAUGAAGCAUAUAUUCUAAUGCAAGAGACAAUAUGAAAAAAUAUAUGUAUAUAUGUUUUAUAUAUUACAUAAAUUUUACAUAUAAUUUAUGUAAAUAAGUAUGUUUAUUUAUAUAUAACUUUGUAAAUAUACAUGAUGGUCAAUAUAAAGAUUUACAUGUUUCAAUAUAUUUAUGGAUUUACAUAUAAAUACAUAUUUAUAUAUAAUAUAUACCCAUAUAUGAUAGAUAUAUGUGACUUGUCACAUAUUGACAAGUCAAGUGACUUGCCCAGGGUCACACAGCUGGGAAGUAUCUGAGGCCAGAUUUGAACCUAGGACCUCCAGUCUCAAGGCCUGAUUCUCAAUCCACUGAGCUACCCAGCUGCCCCCCCUUUUUUUAAAAUUCAUUACAUACACUGUGUAUAUAUUUUUAUUGUUCAUUUCAGUUACGUCUGGCUCUUGACCCAACUGGGAGUUUUCUUGGCAAAGAUACUGAAGUAGUUUGCCAUUUUCUUCUCUAGCUCACUUCACAAAUGAGAAUACUGAGGCAAACAGGUUAAAUGACUUGCCCAGAGUCACAUAGCUAGUGAAUGUCUGAGAUUAGAUUUGAACUCAGGUCUUUCAGAUUCCAGGCCCAAUUCUCUACAACAUACUACCUAGCUGCCCCUGUGUAUGAAGAGAGUACGUAUAAAACGUAGUCUGAGAAACAUGAAAAAAACUUAAAUAUGAAUAAUAUAUAAUUAUAUACUAUAUUAUAUGUGUGUAUAUGUAAUAUAUGUGUAUAUAUGCAUAUAUGUAUAUAUGUAAUAUAUGAAUAUAUAUUAUGAAACAUAACCAACAGGGCCCAUCAGUACUUUUCUAAGCUUUGUAUUUGUAUUCCCCCAACACCAGACACUGUGCUUAGUAGCCAGAAGAUAUCUGGUUAAUGUUUGCAUAGUUCUUUGCACUCCAUUUUGCAGAAGCCAUUGAUGGUAACAGUUCUGCUGUUCUUUUCCCUGUUCUGACCUCAUGGAGAAUAUUUUCCCCUCCUUUGCUCUGCCCUGAGAAAACAAAGGGUAGUACAACGUGGUGAGGACAAACUCUUCCAAAAAAUGAGCUCCAGAACUAUUCUCUCGUUUAUUUAUUCCAGCAAUGCUAUGACAAACACCUGCCGGCAUGAGCAUUUAUCUGAGUAAAUAAAUUCAUUUCCAGAAAUAUUGAUCCAUCCCUCCCUAGGUACAAGGUCUAGUACUGGAUGCAUCAUAGCACUCUUAGAAGUUGGAGUCAACGGACUCUAAGGCUGUUUUUAUUUCCAUCUGACAUCAUCCCUGACAGGGAGUCUUCCAGAAUCUGUUUGAAUGCCUCCAGGGCCAGAAAGAUCUCUUACUGAGGCAGCCCAUGCCUCAGGUGGUUGCAAUGUGAUGCUGAGGGGCUAGAUAUGUGCUAGCCCCCACCAUUGUGGCAGAUUCCCGACUGCUUCUUAUUUGUUCUACUCCUAGCCAGGGCUGCUGGAAGCCAGGAGUAUCUUACCCUAGCUCCAUUUUUAGAACAAUUCUCUCAGCCCUCUGUUGACAUCAUAAGACUGCCUUUGCUAAAACAGUUGAAGUCCUGCUGGGUGAGCUGAGCUCCUGCUAUUUUCUCUCCACAACCCCCCAUUUUUUUGUCUUAUUUAAAUGUUGUUAGGAAAAGGAUUGUGACCCACAGGUCUAUAGAAAGAUCAUAGAAUCUUCAAACACUUAAAAUUACAGAAGUUUCCUCCUCGACUUGUUCUAACAUUCUAACAGCAUAGAAUGUUAGAACUGAAAAAAGCCUUAAAACACACCAUUUUUGAAUUCAGAAUGCUGAGGCUGGAAAAUCAAUCCACAAGCAUUUAUUAAACAUCUACUCUGUGCCAAGCAGUAUGUUAAAUGUUGGGAAUAUAAAGACAAAAACAAAGCUGUUCUUGCCUUUAUGGACUUUAUAUUCUAUGGGUAGAGGUAUGAACAUAAAAAAAUAUGUAGUAAAUAUGUUGAAUAAAUAUAAGGUAAUUAUGUGGGAGAAGGUAAAUAGUAGCUUCAGCUGCCAUCUACACGAGAUUGUUUUCUAAUUCCCCUCAGCAUAACUUUGAAGGAACAAAAGGAAUAGGGGCAUCAAACCCCUAACUUAAUAAGAGAAGGAAACACCUGUUUUGCAUGUCUUCAUCCUAUCUCUACCACAGUCUGAGUGGGCAAACCCUUUUAUUUACCUGGGCCUCUGAUUCAAAGUUUAAUGCUUCUUCCAUCACAACCGUGCUGCCUUUCCUGAAACACACUGGGAAAAAAGUCAUAGAUUUAAUGCCUGAAGGAUCCUUGGAGGCUUAGUCUAUCCCACUAACCUAACUGAUCUGAACCUCAUUAUCCUCAUCUAAAAAGUGAUUUGUCCAAGAUCGGACAAGUUGUGUACUUUGUCUUUACAAUGGAAGAACAGUAAAGUUAGAGCCAAAGUUCCCAAACUCUGUCCCAACAGGGAACUAGGAAAAGGACAGGAAAAUUGUUUUUGUUGGUUUCCUUUUCAUUUGGGGGGCAGGGUGGGAGAGAAUGACUAAGAGGAGACAAAAGCAUCAUGACUAUCUCUGCCCCACUCCCAGCAAGAGCAUUAACAUUUAAUAAAGAUACAAUAACAUCAGACUUCCUCCUAUCAGGAAAAACUCAUUGAUUCUCCAAGUAUUAUCUUUUGAAAAUGGCAGAAUUAGUAUUACUAACUUUAAGGUCAUUUUCAGUUCUACAACUCUAUCUAUACUUAAUUGAAUCAGACUAAUAGAAUGUUGUUACUAAUCAGUGAAUGAAGGGUCAUAAAAUGAAAAGAAGCGAAUAUCUUACCCUGUCCUCUCACAAAAGGGAUUUGCUUAAUGGUCACAUCUCCUCCUCCAGAAAAUUUUCCCUCAUUACCCUGUUUUCCAUUUAACAUUUAUUAAGUUCAAAGAAAUUAUAUUAAAAGGAGAGGUGUGCAAGUGAAUCGAUUUUAGAUGUAUACAGAGUAGAUAAAAGAUAAAGUUAGAGGGGAAGUCACUAGUAGCUAAGGAGACUGGGAAGACCUCUGCAGAGGAUGACAGUUUCCUUGACUUCCUCCAAGACCCUGUUCAUAUAUAAAGUAGAGAUAAAGGAGAACAUACUAAGCAUGGAGGAGUCAGACAAUACCAAGGACAAAGAAGGGAGGCAAAGCAUUUCUUGAGGAACCUCAAGUAGGCCAGUGUGGCUGGACUUAUAGAGUGUGUAUGGAGGGGAGUCAUGUCUAAAAAUACUGGUAUGGUAGGAUGGGGCCAGAACAGCUUGAUGGUGCAAUGGAUAGAGUACUGGACCUGGAGUCAGAAAGAACAGAGUUCAAAUCUAAUCUUAGACAGUAGAUAUGAGACCCUGGGCAAGUCACUUAAUCUCUGCCUGCAUAAAACUGGAAAAGGAAAUGGCAAACCCAUUCCAGUAUCUUUGCCAAGAAAAUCCCUCAGACAAUUGGUCCAUGAAGUUGUGAUGGGACAGGCGUGACAGAACAAGGAUGGAGCCAGGUAACAACUAGUUCUCAGUAACAAAUAGAGAGGUCCAUCCUUGGGUUCUCCAUCAUUCUGCUAAUGUUUAAACAAGGCUGUGGUGUGUAGAGUGCACCAGACCUGGUCAGAAUAUUGGGGUUACUCUAGUCCUAGCUCCAUUGAGAGGUUAGUGAUAUUCCUUUUAUAGGCAUGUGUAAUGCCUGUUAUAUGAGUCAUGUGUCUUUAGGAAUCUCAGCUUUUGAAAUCUGGACAUAUUUAUUGCUUAUAGUAUCACAGAUCUUUGACAAUCGGAGUAUAAAUUUGUCAAGCAUACAGAAAUAAAAUAUUGAUUGUACUGAAGAUACUUCGAUUCAAUAAAUGUGUAGAUUAUUAUUCUUUAAAAUGAGAAUUAGCUAAAUCAGAUAAUUACUUUUCAUGAGGGCCUGAGCAAAUAGCACACAUUGUAGCUGGGUAGAGAAGUUUUUUAAAUUAUUAGACUUAAAUGCAGAAAGGGAAGAAACAUAGCUACUUAUGGAUUGUGUGAAAGAGAAUCAAUCAAUCAAUAUUUAUUAAGUAUCUACUAUAUGCUAGGCGCUGCAAUAAAUCCUGGAACUCAUAUACAUCAAGAGUCAGACUCCUAGGAAUAAAUAUUGAGAUUGUAACAAGCAAUGAGAAUGCUUUCAGAAGAUAGGACUGAGCAAGAAAUAUGCCUUCCCCUAGGUCCCCAUGGGACUAUUUUCACUAGGAUCUAUUGAACUUCUUAGAAAGGUGGUGGGGUUGGGGGAAUUGAAGAGGGAGAAUAGAAAAGACAUUAUCUGAGGUGUAAGAGGCAUGGAAACUAAAAACAUUAAGAAAUGAAUGAUGGGGAAGAAAAAGGUAAAUAUUUACUGUUUACAAAGAAUGAUUUUAUAUGGGUUAUUUUUCUCUCUUUGACUCUCAGGGAAGGUCAGUAAUCAGAUGCAAGAGAAAGAGAGCUUUAAAAAAUUGUCUCUUUGUCAGUGUCUAUAUGUGUGUAUAUAUAUCAUGUACAUAUAUAACCUGUCAGGACCAAUGAUGUCAUUAACCUUGGAAACUCCCUAUACUAAUGAAAAAUGACAACUUAUUUAUAAUUUAUGAGAGUUUUCUGGAGCACUAAGAGGUCACAGUUGUACUACUAGAAUACGUCAGAAACAGAAACUUAGACAUUGUCUUCCUGACUAAAAGGCCAACCUUCUAUCAAUUUUCUUGCCUAUCUGGGGUUUCCUUAGCAAGGAUAAUGAAGUAGUUUGCCAUUUCCUUUUCCAGUUCAUUGUACAGAUGAGGAAACUGAGGCAAACAGUUUUAAAUUACUAACCCACAAUCAUACAUCUAGUAAGUGUUUGAAGUCAGAUUUAAACUCGUGAAGAUGAGCCUUCUUGAUUCCAAACCCAGGGAUCUAUCCACACUACCACUUAACUGUGUGUAUAAGUGUGUGUAUUUUGUAGGGAAGAGAAACUUGUGAUUUCAUCAAUGUAGGGAAUUCCUGAUGCAAAUAACUACCUCCACUAAUGCACUGAUUAGCAAUGAUUUUGCAACUUAAAUCUCAAUGAUCCCAGGUAACCUUCUAAAACUAGAAGUAACUUAUCCAGGAUCCCAAAGCCAGUUAUGUGCCAAAGGCUGGACUUGAAUCCAGAUCUCAAUCCAAAGUCAGCUCUUUGUUCACUAUAGCACAACUGGUUUUGUGUGAAUAUUUUUCCUUAAACUUUAAAAUACAAGAUAUGUUGCAACUCCCUUCCUUGCCAAGACAGAGAGAGAAAAGAGUACUUUUCAGAGCCAAACUGGGACAAGGAAAUGAUGGAUCAAAAGGUAUUUCUUUUUCCCAUACUCAAGUUAGAGAGAUGCAUGAAAAAUCAUUACAGAAGCACUUAGGUAUCUUCUUCAAGGACUAGUCUAAUUCAGGAUGGAAGGAAAAAUUGGAACACCUAUGGGAAUCUGCUAUCGAUUGUGUUUUACCUAUCUUUGCUCUGGGAUUUACAAACCAAAUUAACUUAGUUUUCUGAACCUGGUGUCUAUUUCUAUUUCUAUUUACUAGAUCUAUUUCACUACUAGGUAAAAUUUGGAACCAAAAUUCAAACUAAGCAAUAUGUCUUCAUUUUAUCCAAAGGCUAAAACAGACCUGUGAGGAGCCACCAUUUUUUUUUCUUAAGCCCUUACCUUCUGUUUUGGAAUCAAUACCUAGUAUUGGUUCUAAGGCAAAGGAGCCAGUAAGGCCUAGGUAAUUGGAGUUAAGCAAUUUACCCAGGGUAAGGGUCACCACUUUUAUUAGAGGAAAACAGGAAGCCUCAAAAAAGUCCUAGAACCACCUUAAGUCAGUCAUUUCUCUGGUCUUUCCCACUCCUCCCAUACGUUGCCCUGGGACCAUUUCAUUAGAUAGAUGAGUAAUUAUUACAAUUUCUGCACAUCUUUCAUAGGUCCAGGAUGACUCCUAGGUUGCAAGCCUGAGGGACUGGGAGGAUGGUGUCCUCAUCAGUAAUCAGGAUGGUAGAAAUGGGGAAAGUGCAUUGCUGCAGAGCAAUGCCAACUUAUUGUCCAGGGUUUAUGUAGAUUUGUGGAUUUACCCAAACAGAAAUUAGUUCUGAAUCCCCAUCUAUGAGUGAAAUCUACCUUCUUUUUUUUGAUUUGCUGCUUUUUAAUGAGCCCUAGGCAUAUAACUUUGCUUCUCUGGAGACCCAACUCUAUUUUGUAAAAUAGAUAAAUUCAGAUGCUACAUAUAGUUUAUUAGAAUCAUAGCAUUGGAACUGAAAGGGACCGUAGAGAUAAUCAAAUAUCACCCUCUCAUUUUACAGAUAAGAAAACUGAAGCCCAGGAUAGUUAAGUCACUUUAUCAAGGAGAUCCAAUCAGUAAAUGUUAGAGAGAAUAUUUGAAUGUCAAUCUACCAGAGUAUUAGAAGCCAAAUCCUUUGCCCCUAGUGUCAAUGCUCUCCAUGCACCAUUCAAUGGUUAUUAAGAAGGAACUUCUAAGAAGUGCUCAUCAUUCUCCCAAAUCUCA